AAAAUACUCCCUCCGUCCGGAAUUACUUUCGCGAAAAUGAAUGUAUCUAGAACUAAAAUACGUCUAGAUACAUCCACUUCCCCGACAAGUAUUUCCGAACGGAGGGAGUACAUU
rfam:Triticum urartu cultivar G1812 contig240779, whole genome shotgun sequence.